rnacentral:rRNA from 1 species
CGGGCUCAAACGCAGGAGGCAUGGCGGUGAAAGCCGUCAGUCCCUCGGGACCUACUGCGAGGUGCUGCAUGGUUGUCGUCAGCUCGUGCCGUGAGGUGUCGGCUUAAGUGCCAUAACGAGCGCAACCCCCAUCGACAGUUGCCAUCAGGUCAGGCUGGGCACUCUGUAGAGACUGCCGGCGCAAGCUGAGAGGAAGGCGGGGAUGACGUCAAAUCAGCACGGCCCUUACGUCCGGGGCGACACACGUGUUACAAUGGCAGGUACAGCGGGAAGCCACCUGGCGACAGGGAGCGGAACCCGAAAACCUGUCUCAGUUCGGAUUGGAGUCUGCAACCCGACUCCAUGAAGCUGGAUUCGCUAGUAAUCGCGCAUCAGCCACGGCGCGGUGAAUACGUUCCCGGGCC